rnacentral:tRNA from 1 species
GGCACCAUGGUGUUGUUGGUUAACGCGUUGGCGUAUAUUGCAGAAGUCGUUGGUUCGAGUGCAGCCGGUAUCA